AUUGUACUUCGUGCAAACAAAAAAGGCGUACAGUAAUUGUCUUAUAAUUCUGUAGUGUGCUUUACCAAGUAUUGUACCUUCCUACAGUACCUAUAGUGUUUAAUAUAAAUGAUCAAUACUUUUAAUUAAAUAAAAUCAAUAGCAUAUAAACAGGUUAAUAAAUUUUAGAAUCAAUAGCGUAUAAAAGUUAAAUAAUUUUAGAAUCAAUAGAAUGGACAUUCAAUGUCUAUUUGGCUGGUGUCCAAAUGUGCAACGUUUGCCGUCCGAACGUCCUAAACAUGCAGUCGCUCUUGAGACCUGUAUUGAAACAAUUGAAAUUAACAAGUAUAAAAUCUAUGUAAAGUUUAUACCGUUUCCAAAAAACAAUAAUUUAGUGACAUAUCAUAAAAUUUUAAAAAUAGGUGAACGAGAUGCCGAGCAGAAACGUGUGAAAUAAAAGUGCGCCCAAGCCCGAG